CAAUAGCGUAUAUUAAAGUUGUUGCAGUUAAAAAGCUCGUAGUUGGAUUUCUGGUGGGAGCGAUCGGUCUGGCGCUUAGCGCGAGUACUUGCAUCGUCUCCGGCCAUCCUUGGGGAGAGUCUGUCUGGCAUUAAGUUGUCGGGCAGAGGAUCCUCAUCGUUUACUGUGAAAAAAUUAGAGUGUUCAAAGCAGGCUUAUGCCGUUGAAUAUAUUAGCAUGGAAUAAUAAGAUAGGACUUUGGUACUAUUUUGUUGGUUUGCGCACCAAAGUAAUGAUUAAUAGGGACAGUUGGGGGUAUUCGUAUUCCGUUGUCAGAGGUGAAAUUCUUGGAUUUACGGAAGACGAACUACUGCGAAAGCAUUUACCAAGGUUGUUUUCAUUAA
rnacentral:rRNA from 1 species